UCUUCUUCAGAAGAUGUGCCCAUGAGCAGUUGCAUUAGAUCGAAUAAGAGAGCAGCAUAUCAUUGUAUAGGAAUUGGAAUGAAUGAAGCAGAGAGGAUAUCUGAUAAUGAAAGAUGGGACAGUCCCCUAAGGACUUGCAUAGCCCUAGCUACAGAACUGGCUGGCACAGCAUAGAGCAAGUCCCAGGGAUUUGAAAGCAGAUGAAAGACUUUUCAACAUCUGCAGCUGAAGUGGAAGCAGGAGGGAUCUGCCUGGCUCAGAUCUCCCCUGAUCAUUUUGCUGAAGAAGGUCACAAUUCUGCUGCUGUCUGGACUGUGCUAGUCACCUCUUGCAAACAUUUAUCUAAACUUCCAUCACUGAAAGCUAAGCUACAGCAUCUGAACUGGAUAUUCACCAGGAAGCAACAAGUUCCCUCCAGGUUCUCAACUGAAACUUUUUAUAUGACUCUGUAA
rnacentral:lncRNA from 1 species